rnacentral:rRNA from 1 species
GGUUUGACUCCGGAGAGGGAGCCUGAGAAACGGCUACCACUUCUAAGGAAGGCAGCAGGCGCGCAAAUUACCCAUUCUCGGCACGAGGAGGUAGUGACGAAAAAUACCAAGCUGGGAUCCAUUGGGUUCCGGCAUUGGAAUGAGAACAAUAUAAAUCUUUUAACGAGGAUCUAGUGGAGGGCAAGUCUGGUGCCAGCAGCCGCGGUAAUUCCAGCUCCGCAAGUGUAUAUCUAUGUUGCUGCGGUUAAAAAGCUCGUAGUUGGAUCUGCGUGUUUAGCGUCCGGUUCGACUUUUGGUCGUUACUGGAACGCGACACAGAUGUGCUGGUUUGCCGUUGAUGCUCUUAACCGGGUGUCAGUGGCGGCUAGCGAGUUUACUUUGAAAAAAUUAGAGUGCUCAAAACAGGCGUUUCGCCUGAAUAUUUCUGCAUGGAAUAAUAGAAUAGGACUUCGAUUCUAUUCUGUUGGUUUUCGGAAUGCGAAGUAAUGAUUAAGAGGGACAGACGGGGGCAUUCGUACUGCGACGUUAGAGGUGAAAUUCUUGGAUCGUCGCAAGACGUACUACUGCGAAGGCAUUUCCCAAGAAUGUUUUCAUUAAUCAAGUACGAAAGUUAUGGGUUCGAAGGCGAUCAGAUACCGCCCUAGUCAUAACCGUAAACGAUUUCAAACUGGGCGCCCGACGGUGUUUUUAUUGACCCGUCGGGAACCCUCCCGGAAACGAAAGUGUUCGUGUUCCGGGGGAAAUAUGUCUGCAAAGAGGAAACUUAAAGGAAUUGACGGAAGGGCACCACCAGGGGUGGAGCCUGCGGCUUAAUUUGACCCAACACGGGGAAACUCACCCGGCCCGGACACCGUAAGGAUUGACAGAUUGAGAGCUCUUUCUUGAUUCGGUGGGUGGUGGUGCAUGGCCGUUCUUAGUUGGUGGAGUGAUUUGUCUGGUUUAUUCCGAUAACGAACGAGACUCUGGCCUGCUAACUAGUGUUCACAUCUUUACGUGUGCUUCGCUUCUUAGAGGGACAGGCGGCUUCCAGCCGCAUGAAGAAGAGCAAUAACAGGUCUGUGAUGCCCUUAGAUGUCCGGGGCUGCACGCGCGCUACACUGAAAGAAUCAGCGUGUACGUUACCUGGCUCGAAAGAGUCGGGUAAUCCGGUGAAAAUCUUUCGUGAUUGGGAUCGGGACUUGCAAUUAUUUCCCUUGAACGAGGAAUCCCUAGUAAGUGCGGGUCAUCAGCUCGCGCUGAUUACGUCCCUGCCCUUUGUACACACCGCCCGUCGCUGCCCGGAACUGAGCCGUUUCGAGAAAAAUGGGGACUGUCUACUUGAGGUCUUCACGGACUUUUAGUAAAUGGAAACCGCUUUAAUCGCAGCGGCUUGAACCGGGCAAAAGUCGUAACAAGGUU